rnacentral:rRNA from 1 species
UACAGAGGGUGCUAGCGUUGUUCGGAAUCAUUGGGCGUAAAGGGCGUAUAGGCGGUUUGCUAAGUCAUGUGUGAAAUCCCUCGGCUUAACCGGGGAACGACGCAUGAAACUGGCAAGCUAGAGUACCAAAGAGGGGGGUGGAAUUCCCGGUGUAGCGGUGAAAUGCGUAGAUAUCAGGAGGAACACCGAUGGCGAAGGCGGGUCUCUGGGCAUUAACUGACGCUGAGGAGCGAAAGCAUGGGGAGCGAACAGG